UGAGGAAUAUUGGUCAAUGGGCGAGAGCCUGAACCAGCCAAGUAGCGUGCAGGAUGACGGCCCUAUGGGUUGUAAACUGCUUUUGUAUGGGGAUAAAGUCAGUCACGUGUGAUUGUUUGCAGGUACCAUACGAAUAAGGACCGGCUAAUUCCGUGCCAGCAGCCGCGGUAAUACGGAAGGUCCGGGCGUUAUCCGGAUUUAUUGGGUUUAAAGGGAGCGUAGGCUGGAGAUUAAGUGUGUUGUGAAAUGUAGACGCUCAACGUCUGACUUGCAGCGCAUACUGGUUUCCUUGAGUACGCACAACGUUGGCGGAAUUCGUCGUGUAGCGGUGAAAUGCUUAGAUAUGACGAAGAACUCCGAUUGCGAAGGCAGCUGACGGGAGCGCAACUGACGCUGAAGCUCGAAGGUGCGGGUAUCGAACAGGAUUAGAUACCCUGGUAGUCCGCACAGUAAACGAUGGAUGCCCGCUGUUGGUACCUGGUAUCAGCGGCUAAGCGAAAGCAUUAAGCAUCCCACCUGGGGAGUACGCCGGCGGUG
rnacentral:rRNA from 1 species